AGUGAACGCUGGCGGUAGGCCUAACACAUGCAAGUCGAACGGCAGCACAGUAAGAGCUUGCUCUUACGGGUGGCGAGUGGCGGACGGGUGAGGAAUACAUCGGCAUCUACUUUUUCGUGGGGGAUAACGUAGGGAAACUUACGCUAAUACCGCAUACGACCUACGGGUGAAAGCAGGGGAUCUUCGGACCUUUCGCGAUUGAAUGAGCCGAUGUCGGAUUAGCUAGUUGGCGGGGUAAAGGCCCACCAAGGCGACGAUCCGUAGCUGGUCUGAGAGGAUGAUCAGCCACACUGGAACUGAGACACGGUCCAGACUCCUACGGGAGGCAGCAGUGGGGAAUAUUGGACAAUGGGCGCAAGCCUGAUCCAGCCAUACCGCGUGGGUGAAGAAGGCCUUCGGGUUGUAAAGCCCUUUUGUUGGGAAAGAAAAGCAGCAGGUUAAUACCCCGCUGUUCUGACGGUACCCAAAGAAUAAGCACCGGCUAACUUCGUG
rnacentral:rRNA from 1 species